rnacentral:rRNA from 1 species
UAAUACAUAAGUAACCUGCCCUAGACAGGGGGAUAACUAUUGGAAACGAUAGCUAAGACCGCAUAGGUACGGACACUGCAUGGUGACCGUAUUAAAAGUGCCUCAAAGCACUGGUAGAGGAUGGACUUAUGGCGCAUUAGCUGGUUGGCGGGGUAACGGCCCACCAAGGCGACGAUGCGUAGCCGACCUGAGAGGGUGACCGGCCACACUGGGGCUGAGACACGGCCCAG